UACAAGUACCGUGAGGGAAAGCUGAAAAGAACUUUGAAGAGAGAGUUCAAAAGGGCGUGAAACCGCUUAGAAUAAAACGGACGGACCCGUCUGAGGCCCUUCGGAAUCAGUCGAGUCGACGCGUGAAGGCGAGUGCGGCGCCGUAAACGGAACGAAAGUCCCGUCGCCUCGUAGAGAGAGUAGUAGCGCUCGUUCGAUGCAUUUCCGAAGGGUAAGCGCCGUGACCGACGCGCGAAAGGCUAGCGAAACGGUCGGGUUGAGGGCGAGCGCGUUCGCGCGCGUCUCGUAACCAGCCCGUUCGGAAUUCGUUAGACCCUAGCGUCGAGAGAGAGAGAACGAAAGUAGAGAAUGUCGGCGAUCAAAAGCGCUCGCCUAUUGCGACGGACGUGCGGCCGAUCGACUGUCACCUGCUCGCAGGUCUCGGUUAGUAUAUAUCCGGUUCGUAUCCGAAGUCGUCGGUGACGUUUCGACAUUCAGGCUUCCACGGCGUCCGAGUCGGUCACCCGUCCAACCCGUCUUGAAACACGGACCAAGGAGUCUAACGUAAGCGCGAGCUAAUGGGCUGAAAACCCAUAAGCGCAAUAAAAGUAAAAGUCGUCUCGGACGGCUUAGGUACGAUCCCGUCGGAACGGAAUAUAUCCACGGGCGCAGUACCGUCCCGUCUCGACCGCUCGUUGGUAGGGCGGAGAUAGAGUGCGUACGUUGGGACCCGAAAGAUGGUGAACUAUGCCUGAGCAGAGCGAAGCCAGAGGAAACUCUGGUGGAGGUUCGUAGCGGUUCUGACGUGCAAAUCGAUCGUCAGACUUGGGUAUAGGGGCGAAAGACUAAUCGAACCAUCUAGUAGCUGGUUCCUUCCGA
rnacentral:rRNA from 1 species